GGUGUUAAAUAUAUAACAAAUAUCAAGUCAAUAUCUUCAAGCAUGAUGAAAAAAAGUUGUGAAUUUUCUAUGUCCAAAACAACUCUGCACUAAAUUAUCAGACAUGAACAAAAUUUGAACUUGAUCUGAAACUUUUCAUGAUAGAACAAUAUACCAAAAUAUCAAAGCAAUAUCUACAAGGACAGAGUGCAAACCUAAAGUCCCCUUCAAAUUUGUCAGUAUGGGACUAAAAAGAAAUCGAAGAGAAACUGACAAGACCAUCUAAAAUCAAAUCCACACAAAAAAAAGUUCACAUGCUUAUACUUUACAGAAAUCCAAAAAUCCAUUACCAGUGGGAGACAAAAAUGUGUUCAUAUAAAAAAGAAGAAGUGGUAUGAUUUCCAAUGAGACAACUCUCAACAAGAGACCAAAUGACACAGAAGUUAACAACUAUAGGUCAUCGAACAGCCUUCAUUGCCCUGCAACAAUGAGCAAAGCCCAUACCGCAUAGUCCGCUAUGAAAAAUUAAAGGCCCCGAAAUGACAAUGUAAACAAUUUAAACGAGAAAACUAAGGACCUAAUUGAUGUACAAAAAAAAAAACGAAAAACUACAUGUAACACAUAGACAACCAACAACUACUGAAUUACAGGCUCCUGACUGGGGACAGGCACAUACAUACAGAAUGUGGCGUGGUUAAACAUGUUAGCGGGAUCCUAACCCUCCCCCCUAACCUAGGACAGUGGUAUAACAGUACAAAAUAAGAAUGAACUAUAAAAUUCAGUUGAAAAAGGCUUAACUCAUCAGAUGGAUACAAAUACUACACAGAGUGGACGUGGCCGGGUACUUGUACAUCCCAACAAAUCUGUCAUCUUAUUGCAAGGAUCAACCUCAUUAAUGUCUGUGCCUCUGUGGACAUCUUAAUUUUGUGUUCCUUAUACAAUUACUUUCCAAUACUUUACAUCUAAACAUGGUGUACAUGGCAAAUAAAUAGCUGAUCCCAUGAAACAUUGCAUGUUUAAGAAAGGAAUCCUGUUUCAGUUCUUUCAUGGGUCUGAACAACAUUACUGCAUAGCCUCCAAAAGUGAGCAAAAUGAUUUAAUCAAUACUGUAUGUCACCGUAGCUACAUUUAUUUAUUAGAGUACAUCUUUACACUAGUAC
rnacentral:lncRNA from 1 species